AUUCCAGCUCCAAUAGCGUAUAUUAAAGUUGUUGCGGUUAAAAAGCUCGUAGUUGGAUUUCUGCUGAGGACGACUGGUCCGCCCCCUGGGUGAGCAUCUGGUUCGGCCUGGGCAUCUUCUUGGGGAACGUAUCUGCACUUGAUUGUGUGGUGCGGUAUCCAGGACUUUUACUUUGAGGAAAUUAGAGUGUUUCAAGCAGGCCCGCGCCUUGAAUACAUUAGCAUGGAAUAAUAAGAUAGGACCUCGGUUCUAUUUAGUUGGUUUCUAGAGCUGAGGUAAUGAUUAAUAGGGAUAGUUGGGGGCAUUCGUAUUUAAUUGUCAGAGGUGAAAUUCUUGGGUUUAUGAAAGACGAACUUCUGCGAAAGCAUUUACCAAGGAUGUUUUCAUCG
rnacentral:rRNA from 1 species